CAGGAGGGUGGUGACGCUGGAGAAGAAGGCGGAGGAGACCUUCGGCUUCGAGAUCCAGACCUACGGGCUGCACCACCAGGACAGGAACAGCGUGGAGAUGUUCACCUUCGUGUGCCGGGUGCACGGUGGGAGCCCGGCUGAGGCCGCGGGGCUCCAGACCGGGGACACCAUCACGGGGGUCAACGGGCUGAAUGUGGAGGGCGUCCGGCACCGGGAGAUCGUGGAGAUCAUUAAGAACUCGGGCAACACGCUCCGGCUGGACACGCUCUACGGGACAUCCAUCCGGAGGGCCGAGCUGGAGGCCCGGCUGCAGUACCUGAAG
rnacentral:lncRNA from 1 species